AGAGUUUGAUCCUGGCUCAGGAUGAACGCUAGCUACAGGCUUAACACAUGCAAGUCGAGGGGCAGCAUGUUGGUUGCUUGCAACCAACGAUGGCGACCGGCGCACGGGUGGGUAACGCGUAUCCAACCUACCCUUGUCCAUCGGAUAACCCGUCGAAAGGCGGCCUAACACGAUAUGCGGUUCACAGCAGGCAUCUAACGUGAACGAAAUGUAAAGGAGAAGGAUGGGGAUGCGUCUGAUUAGCUUGUUGGCGGGGUAACGCCACAAGGCGACGAUCAGUAGGGGUUCUGAGAGGAAGGUCCCCCANAUUGGAACUGAGACACGGUUCAAACUCCUACGGGAGGCA
rnacentral:rRNA from 1 species